rnacentral:tRNA from 1 species
GCCCUCAUAGCUCAGGUGGAUAGAGCGACUGCCUCCUAAGCAGUAGGUCCCAGGUUCGAGUCCUGGUGAGGGCA